rnacentral:lncRNA from 1 species
UGGGAAGCACUGAUCCCCUCUGGGAGCAUCCCUGGGGAGAGGCAUCCCCCAAAUGUGCCACUAAUCCCUCCAUGCCAUGUCCUGGCAGCCCCCUCAGCCCCUGGGGAUCGGCUCGUGUCUCCGGGCAGCGUUCCGGGCCCUGCGUUGCCAGCACCGCGGCUGUGCCCAGGUGGAUUUCUCCCAGCCCUUCUCCUUACGGGAAUUUGUGGAUAACAACCUCGUCAGGCCAGUCCUCACAGGGAAUCAUCCAGAGCAGCUGCUACUUCCCACCAUCCUGGGCAAGAGCCCGCUGGAUGUGGGGAGCGUGGGGACUCCGAGUCCCAGUUUGGGGACUGAAGAGGAGAUUUUGGUGACGGCGCUGGGGCUGCACGCCCUGAGCGGUGAGGGGGCCGGGGGGUCCCUGCAUCCCUUGGGUUGGCAUUCCCUGCUCGGGAGCGGGGUGGAGAUGAGUGUCCCCUGGAUAAUGAGUGCCUCUCCCCCGCUGCAGAUUCCAGCGCCUGCUCCGCCGUCACGGCUGUGGGAAUCACCGCGGCGCU